AAUUAUUACAACAAAAGAGAGGAAAAACAUCAUUCUCUUGGGAAAAAUAAGAGGCAAUUACAAGAUUUCAAUUCUUUGAAUAUCCAAUCUUGAUUUUUGGACAAAGAAGAGAAGGUGCAAUUGAAGAUUAAUCAAGGAACCAUUGAAGAUAAGAUUUAUCUUCUUCUUCGCUUAUUAAUAAUUCGGGUGAUGUUCUAUAAAUUCAAUAUGAUUUCUUGUAAUUUUGCAACGCAGGGAUAGAAUUCAGUUAUUAAGUCAUAGAUGAACUCUUGUCAUGAAGUUUUAAAAUAAAUUCAAUUUUUUGACGCCCAAUACUUGUUAUUUCUUGGAUGAUUGUUAUUGUGUUUAAUGAUUUUCAAUUACUUGAUCAAUAAUUGGACUGAUGUGUGAAUUUUAUUGGUAUAGAUAGAGAGAAUAAGACAGGUAGCACAUUAUAACAAUUGUUGUGAGGUUAUAUAGAGGACUGUGAGAUAUAUCUCCAUACUUUAUAUGAUUUCAAUAAAUACUAUAAUAUUUUUAAUGCAUGCUUUCUUGUUCACAUCUUUUUGUAGAGAUAUAGGGAGGUCACAUUAAAAAAUAUAUUUAAUCCUACUCGAUAGAGAUUAUUAAACAAUUUAGGAAUAUUAAUCAACAAGAAUACAUAUUUUCAUGAUAUUGAUUUGUAUUAAAAUGGAGUGAUAUGAAAGAUUUAAAUCUUCUAUAUC
rnacentral:lncRNA from 1 species